UCAGAGAAAUCGGAACGCCCCGUAUUCCAGCCCAGAGAUCGAGGAGAAGUCUUCUGGAAUACGGAACUGCUUAGCAUAGAACAAACCAGCUUUCUAUUAUUACACGAAUAUGAAUACAAGGUCUCCGAUAUUACAAUGAAUAACAUCAGCACGGCGACACUACGCCAUCCUUAGUUGCUCUAUGCAAGCAGCAGAACAACUCGAAGUAGCGGAAGAACUCUAGCAGCGGAACAACGAAGACGGUGGUGAACUCCACUCCGCAAGGACUCUGGCUGGAACGCUUAUCCUAGCUUGCACGAACGGAAACCACAACAAGCAAGCAAUCAAAUCCGGCAUGACCUGUAAACUGGCAUGACACGCCAGGUCAGUACAUUGAAUGUACUUGCAAGCUCACAAUAACCAGAAGCAUUCAAGACAAACAACAGCAUAGCAAUUACAGGUUAAGCAGGGAUUAUCAUAAUAUCAUCAGAACAACAUGGCAUGACCAACAUAAACAUGAUUCAGCUAACUCAACCUGAACAUAGCAUGAACGUAUUAAUCCGACAAUACUAGCAUGCAAUAUAAUGACACUAUAUGCACCAUUUAUUCUGCUCGGGUUACCUUGUAACCAACACAUGCAUCACUUACCAACCUCGGACAUCACACGAUCAUCUCAGGAUCAAAUCAAGCUUGGUAUAAACAAUACCAUAGCAAUCAGUAAAUGACCACAAGGAGCUUGACCUUUAUCCACGAUUCUCGUACAACAUCACGAAUAUACAACAACUCGGUAUCCUCGAUGCCAUCGUGAUCCUUAGGGCGAUCACCACCACGACCAACACUCAAACCGUGAUCCUUACGGCGAUCACAACCCGACCAAUAAAUGGCCCGUGAUCCUUACGGCGACCACAACCCGACCACUACAUGGCCCGUGAUCCUUACGACAAUCACCACCCGACUUAUCUCACUAUUAUUAAGCACAUUAUUUUUACUACUGUUGACUCAUGGUGUGACCUUCUCUUGAACUAGGCCCUUAUCCGCGGGCGCGGCUUUCGACAGAUUUAAUAUACACUCUGCAGAGGUUAGUACACUGUACCCACACUACAGAACCCAUCGCCUCGCACUACCCUUCGGGUGGACCAACGGCGUUCCGAAAAAACCGUCCUACUGCCAUGACACUCUCCCGGCCACUCCGACUCACUCCUCACUGACCUAAGUCAUGGGUGGCCCCGUGCCUACCUCCAGACACAACGACCACUGUCGUGGCCCGCCCCACUCUGGGACACGGAUCUAAAACUAACUUAACAACGGGCACACAAGGUUAUGCUCCGCCUACCUGAUCAGGGUAGCGCGCGCCCAUAACCUUCCCUCAUUGGAGGCACCGGUGAGAGGCAUUACAAUAGACCCAGUUAGGACCGUCCCAUACCGGUAAGCGUGGUUACACUAGUCAGCAUCGAUUCAGCGGCACCAUGACUCAGCCAACAAUUGUUCAAGUUCAAUUUAAUCCGGCUAACUUGAAUGCAAAUAUGCUGAGCCAUGAUAAAAUGCAUGAACAUGAUAUCAACAUCAUCAUGAGAGUAUCACAUAACUUUCCACCAUAACAACAAUAAAUCAUCUCCACUGAUCAUCGCAUACUGACUAGCAUGACCAUCUCCAACAUCAACAUGUACUACUAACAAGCAUAAACAUAUGAAAGAUAAUACUAGUAGGUAUAACAUGAUCACAGAGUAUAAGACAACAUAGCACAAAAGUGAACAUGCAAAUCUGAACAUCACCGGAACAAUGAUAACCAUGUUUUCAACAAGCAAACAUCUAAUAAAGAUUCAAGUUGAAAACCAUGGCUACUGCAUGACUAUCAUGCAAGUGGGUAUUGUGGCUUGCCUGGGGAUGAAGAAGGCACCGGGGAGAAGUGUCAGAAACUUGCGGAACAAAUCGCCGGAAAACGUACUCUCUCGAAGGGGAUGAAUAAGGGCAAGGGCAUAAAGGUCACGGUGGCAAACCAUAGUGAAACCAUGACCAACAGAACGGGCUCGGCAAAACGAAGAAGUGGGCUUUGGUUUCACCUCAUUUGGAUUUACGGAUAAAAAGUUAGAGCCCGAUGAAGUGCAGGGACCAAUCUGUAAAAAUAUCUCUACAAACAGGCCCCUGAGCUGAAAAACAGAAAACGUAUUUCAGACUAUACGCUUACAGAAAAGGAAAACAUAUUCUGAGCUGAAAGGGAAAGAAAGUGCACUUUCCAGCCGGGAAGGCGUAGUCCGUGGAAUACGCCUCCACCUAUCCACGUCAGCGUGGACUAGUCAACGUGGGGCUGGCGGCUUAGAGGCUUACAGGUGGGGUCGCAGGACCCAUGCUGCUGGUGAACGCCUUCGUCUUCUUCCUCCUCUUCGUGGCCCGAUCGAAGCAGAGGCAGGGGCGCUGCCGGCGCCGGCCCCGGCGACUCCGGCCACCUCCGGCCAAACGGAGGCCACCGACGGGCUCGGCGUGGACAGCCGCAUCCAUCCCCGCGCAGAGGAAACGCCGGAGAGGAGCGGGGUGGCCACGACUAAGAGGGGACAGAACCGGCUCCGGCGGUGGUGAUCUACGGGGACGACGGCAACAGCAGCUCCGGCGAUGGGCUCAGAGGGCAGGUAGGGUCUUCGAGGACUGGGUGGAGUUCUGGUGGUGGUAGAAGGAGGAGAGGGGGCUCGACUUGGCCGAAUUCGAGAGGAUGGACG
rnacentral:lncRNA from 1 species